ACGUGGGAAACUUAGUACGGCGAGUGAGCGGUAAAAGCUCAAAUUUGAAAUCUGGUACUUUCAGUGCCCGAGUUGUAAUUUGUAGAAUUUGUCUUUGAUUAGGUCCUUGUCUAUGUUCCUUGGAACAGGACGUCAUAGAGGGUGAGAAUCCCGUUUGGCGAGGAUACCUUUUCUCUGUAAGACUUUUUCGAAGAGUCGAGUUGUUUGGGAAUGCAGCUCAAAGUGGGUGGUAAAUUCCAUCUAAAGCUAAAUAUUGGCGAGAGACCGAUAGCGAACAAGUACAGUGAUGGAAAGAUGAAAAGAACUUUGAAAAGAGAGUGAAAAAGUACGUGAAAUUGUUGAAAGGGAAGGGCAUUUGAUCAGACAUGGUGUUUUUUGCAUGCACUCGCCUCUCGUGGGCUUGGGCCUCUCAAAAAUUUCACUGGGCCAACAUCAAUUCUGGCAGCAGGAUAAAUCAUUAAGAAUGUAGCUACUUCGGUAGUGUUAUAGCUUUUUGGAAUACUGUUAGCCGGGAUUGAGGACUGCGCUUCGGCAAGGAUGUUGGCAUAAUGGUUAAAUGCCGCCCGUCUUGAACCACGGACCA
rnacentral:rRNA from 1 species